AGGGUUUGAUUAUGGCUCAGAACGAACGCUGGCGGCAUGCCUAACACAUGCAAGUCGAACGCUUGUCCGGUUUCGGCCGGACGGGAGUGGCGCACGGGUGAGUAGCGCGUGGGAACCUGCCCUGUUGUGGGGGAUAACCGAGGGAAACUUCGGCUAAUACCGCAUGCGCCCCGGAGCAAUCCGGGGGAAAGAUUUAUCGCAGCAGGAGGGGCCCGCGUCGGAUUAGCUAGUUGGUGGGGUAACGGCCCACCAAGGCAGUGAUCCGUAGCUGGUCUGAGAGGAUGAUCAGCCACACUGGGACUGAGACACGGCCCAGACUCCUACGGGAGGCAGCAGUGGGGAAUAUUGGACAAUGGGCGCAAGCCUGAUCCAGCAAUGCCGCGUGAGUGAUGAAGGCCUUAGGGUUGUAAAGCUCUUUCGCCCGCGACGAUGAUGACGGUAGCGGGAGAAGAAGCCCCGGCUAACUUCGUGCCAGCAGCCGCGGUAAUACGAAGGGGGCGAGCGUUGUUCGGAUUUACUGGGCGUAAAGGGCGCGUAGGCGG
rnacentral:rRNA from 1 species